rnacentral:rRNA from 1 species
GUGGGGAAUAUUGGACAAUGGGGGCAACCCUGAUCCAGCAAUGCCGCGUGUGUGAAGAAGGUUUUCGGAUCGUAAAACUCUUUUAUUGGGGAAGAAGAAGUGACGGUACCCAAUGAAGAAGUCCCGGCUAACUACGUGCCAGCAGCCGCGGUAAUACGUAGGGGACAAGCGUUGUCCGGAAUCACUGGGCGUAAAGGGCGCGUAGGCGGUUUUAUAAGUCAGAUGUGAAAGGUACCGGCUCAACCGGUGACGUGCAUUUGAAACUGUAAGACUUGAGUACUGGAGAGGCAAGUGGAAUUCCUAGUGUAGCGGUGAAAUGCGUAGAUAUUAGGAGGAACACCGGUGGCGAAGGCGGCUUGCUGGACAGAUACUGACGCUGAGGUGCGAAAGCGUGGGGAGCGAACAGGAUUAGAAACCCUGGUAGUCC